rnacentral:lncRNA from 1 species
CAUUUCUGGUGGGAAGGACCGAUCUGCACAUCACAGUUGUCAUAGAAACCUGAUGUAAUUAUGGUAGACUUGGCAAUUGUGACGCCAUUCUUAAGGAGAAAGAGUUGGUCUGGUGAGCAUCCAGCCUCCAGGUGUUAGAACUAAGUGAGGGUGUGUGUGUCCCCUGGUGGGGUCUACCAUACCUGGGGUGUGAGGAGAAUGGGACACAAGACCCUAGUUGUCUCUUUCCUGCUCUCAGACCUGCUGCCCCACUGACUCGAGAGGGAGAGAGAUGUGGGAACCUUCUGACUCAAGGCAGCAUGCCAUUAUUGAGGGAUCAUAAAUGCCUGCACGAAUGCAGGCCACUUCUUAUUCCUUUUCAAAAUUUUUUGUUAGUGGAAGAAAGAUGAGUAAAAGUGAAAGAAUAGGCUCUGGUGUGAAGCCCAUUUUAUCUUCUCACUGCUGUGAUUCUUACCUAGGUGUACCAGUGCCAUUGGUCACUGAGCCAGUGCCUAGCAUUGUGCAGGCACAUCAUUAGGCUGAUGAGGCACAGUGAUUUCUGGGUUCUGUUUCUCUCUGUGAAGCUCCUAGUUGGGUUUGUAUUAAGUGUGUGAAGGAGAGGUUUUCUGAAGAUCUGAGUGGUGAUGGCUGCUGAAGCUCUUCCUCAACUAAAGGGAGCGGUGCUCAGGAGAACCCAAUACUUCCAUCCCUGGUAGGAUAUGAGUGAGUCCUGGUUCAAGUGAGCUCAUAGAUCAUUCAUAACCAUGUAGUAGAAUAGUAUCUACCAGGUUGACAAAAUCACCUAAAGUAGAACAGUCCCUUUGACACUGUCAAGGGAAAAGGAAAUGGAGUUUUAUCCCAUUGGCUUCUUAUGUGCUUGGUUGUGGCCUUUUAGGCUCAUCUCAGAGAUGGCUUCUUAGUCUGACAGCGUGAGUCCUGCAUCUUGUGGUAAGAACCUGAUAUUGACGUGUACUUUAAAUAAAUUUCAUAUAUUUUUUAUUGUAUUGUUACCAAAAAUAUAGAAAAUUAUGCAACUGGAAAGAGACAAGCAGCAUUUGGAGUUGCAGAAGAGCAAGGUUUAUUCAGCAGUGGUGCAGACUCGGUGGAGGCUUCUUCUAAAGCUGAGCACAGCCCCUUGUUCUCAGUGUCUUUUACACAGAACAGACUUCCAGUUUUAAGACUUUCUUGUGGAAGUAGACUUGAUCAUUUUUUUUUUCUUUUCUGGCAGCUCUGGUUCUUGCCACAGCUGCUAAGCAAGCAUGAUUACAGAAGCUGAAACUAUCAGGAUGCAGUUAUUAACAGAGAUAAAAAAGAAAAAGAAACAUCUUAAGUCGUUGCUGCUUCAUUUCCCCCCUCUUGAUACUCAGGAUGCAUCUGCAGCCUUCAGGAAGCAUCUUUUUUUUUUUUUCAUAUGAUGGGAUCAUCUCAUAAGUAAUAGAUGAGAGGCUGUCUGUUUUAAACUUUCACUGUCUCUAUAAAACCU